GUAUGUAUGUAUCUAUGUAUCCGCUGAUUGAACCAUAAAAUAAAUCAGUUGCUUUAUACCUCUUUCGAAGAGGAAGUCAACGUGACGCGGAAGUAAGGAUCCCAAGAAACUACUGGAUCAACUUUCUGGUUAAGCACAAAAUUUCCGGAUUUCCAAUCAAGAGUGCUUGACACAUACUGGAUGAUGU